GGCAUCUGAAGGCAGAUUGACUCCUUGAACUGAGCAGCCACUGUGAUCCUUAGGCCCAAAAGGGAUAUAGAUUGGAGACCAAGUGGUGAGUGUGAAUAAUAAUAAGAGGCAGGUCCUUAUUUUUAUUCCAAGCUAGUGAACUUGGUCAUAUAAGUUACACUAACCUAAAGGAUGGGAAACCAUCAAAAGCAUUUAGGCAAGAAAAUGUCAAUAUCAGAGAUAUGUUUUAAAACAUUACUUUGAACACUGUGUGAGGAAGGGAUUAAAGGCGAGAAAGAGAGCAAAGCCAGAGAGAUGAAUUAGGAGGUUAUGUUAGUUAGAAAUGCUUUCAGCUUCAAGUAAGAGAAUACCCAAAUACCUUAAACCCUGUAGCAACAUUUAUGGUUUACCAACAGGAAAUCGGGAAACAAUGCCUCCUCAGGAACAGUUUGGGAGCUCUGUGAUUUCAUUAAAAACCCGAGCUUUCUCCAUCCUUCUCCAUCACCAUCUUCCAUGUGUUGGCUUUUUCUUCUCUCCUGUCGUCUCCUGGUUGCAAGAUGGCUGCCUUAGCUUUCAGACACAAUAAUCUGAUUCAAGGCAGGAGGAAGGGGGAAGGGACAGCGAUAGCUACCAUCUGUUCCAUUUCUCUAGAAAGCAAAACUUUCCCAAAAGCCCAUCACAGAUGUCUUUUUACAUCUCAUUGGUCAGAACCAGGUCACAUUGCCCCUCUAACUGCAAGGAAGGCUAGAAAUUUGAUCAGGCUUCUUCAUUAUGAUUCAGUACCUGGAGCUGGACACAUUGUUGCCUGGAGCAAAACUGGAGUUCUGAUAGCCAGGUAAAAAGAGAAAUGACUUUGGGGUAGGAAAUCAACAGUGAUGGUCACAGAGGCCAGGGAAGAUGGCCCUGACUAAGAUGCUGGCAUUGGACACAGAGAUAUUUAAGAGGUGGAAGUUACAGAACUUGGUGAUGGGAUGUGAGGAAUGAAGGAGGGGAAGGAGAAAAGGAUGAUUUCCAGGUUUGAGCUUGGGCAGCCAACAGAUUGUGAUGUCAUCUACUACAACAGAAAAUAUGAAGAAGAAACACAGGUGUGAGGAAGAUGAAAAGUCCACUUUUAAACAUUCAACUCACUGAAGAGAUCCAGCAGUUAUCUUGCAACCAUGAGGAGAAUGGCCACACACUAAGGAGGAUGGAACAGGAAGGUAGAAAGAACCCGGUACCUUGAUGCCCUUGAGCAGCUGCACCUGCCCUGGCGUGCCUACCCUCAGACUUCCUGUUGCAUUGGAAGAAAGGAAGGGAGGGAGGGAGGAAGGAAGAAAACAACUGUCUCAGUUAAGCUAUGGCCUGUAAGGGUUCUGUUACUCGUAAGCAGGAGCCUGGCUUGUGCACCCCCGGGGCCUGCGGGGCCUCCCUUCCUUCCCAGGUGCCCUCCCCUGACAGCUGUGGGUAUCAGCCUCCUGUCGAAGUUUGGCACGAAAGCAGGUUUUGCGUUAGAAGUCUCAGAGGAGCCUCUUUUUGGGAAGGAGUAGUGAAGACAAGAGAGAACAGAGAGACACACGGAGUAGCAGAAGGAGCAGCUGGCUGGGGUUGAUUGAUCUGGUCCUGGCCCUCAGCCUGCCACUAACCAGCUCUGUGACCUCUCUGGGCCUCAGUCUACAGAACAAAGGAUUUGAGCUGGAGCAGUGUUUCUCAACUUCAUAACCAUCAAAAAGAAGGACCUCGUAUUUCUUUUAAGAUUUUUCUCUGCCAGACUGCAUUUAUCAAAUAAUUCAUAUUUCCAUGAGAAUACUGUGUUGAUACAAUUCCGGCCAAAAGCAAAGAAAAAUAACUUUUUAAUUUAGCCUUGUUAGUCUUACCAUAGGAUGAAACUUC
ensembl:lncRNA